AGAAUCAACGCUGGCGGCGUGCCUAACACAUGCAAGUCGAUCGAGAAAGUGGAGCAAUCCAUGAGUAAAGAGGCGCACGGGUGAGUAACACGUGACUAACCUACCUUCGAGUGGGGAAUAAACCUGGGGAAACCCGGGCUAAUACCGCAUAAUACCUACGGGUCAAAGGAGCAAUUCGCUUGAAGAGGGGGUCGCGGCAGAUUAGUUAGUUGGCGGGGUAAUGGCCCACCAAGACGAUGAUCUGUAUCCGGCCUGAGAGGGCGCACGGACACACUGGAACUGAAACACGGUCCAGACUCCUACGGGAGGCAGCAGUGGGAAUUUUGCGCAAUGGGGGAAACCCUGACGCAGCAACGCCGCGUGGAGGAUGAAGUCCCUUGGGACGUAAAACUCCUUUCGACCGGGACGAUUAUGACGGUACCGGAUGAAGAAGCCCCGGCUAACUUCGUGCCAGCAGCCGC
rnacentral:rRNA from 1 species